GUGCUCGCUUCAGCAACACAUAUACUAAAAUUGGAACGAUACAGAGAAGAUUAGCAUGGCCCUGUGCAAAGGUAACACAUAAAUACGUGAAGCAUUUCAGAUUAUU
ensembl:snRNA U6 U6 spliceosomal RNA